GUUCUUCUUCAUGGUAGCUUGUUUCCUAGUAUAGUUUGUAACUUAAGAUUGUAAUCUCACAUUUUGUGGUACUUUGUUAGACUCCUGAGUCCUGAGUGACUGUCUUUCCAGAGAUCUGCUUCUUCCAAGUUCCCUAAACCUAUGUGAAGGGAGUUCUGUGAUUUUAACAUCUUAUGAGACCAGAAUAAAACAUAAAAGGUUUCUUAUUUUCCUUCAUUGCAGGUAGGGAUAUAUACUGAGUACUUUUAUCUAGUGCUUACUCUGGACCAGCCACUGUAGUACUUCAUAGCCACUGUGUUAAGUACAUCACAUGUACUUUGAAUAAAGCAUACAAUUGGUAUUCCUCUUAUCAUCCUGAUUUUAUAAUUAAGUCAUAGAAAAUUUGAACAAUUUUCCCAGGGUCAUCUAAAAAAGUAAUUGGCAAUAUCUGGAUACAAAGUCAAGCAGUUCAAGCCCUGAUCUAAGGUUUUUUAGCUCUUCUCUUUUUUGGUACGAGGAAUUUAACUCAGGGAUGCUUUACCAUUGAGCUAUAUCCCCAUCCCUUUUUAUAUUUUUUAUUUUGAGAGAGUCUCAAUGAGUUAAUUAGGGCCUCACUAAGUUGCUGAGGUUGGCCUCAAACUUCUUGUCCUCCUGCCUCAACCUCCCAAGUUACUGGGAUUACAGGUGUGUAACAUUGCACCUGGCUUUUUAAUUAUUCUCUUAUAAUAUACUUGAACAGGCAGGAUGGGGGAAGACAUUCUGCCCAUACACUGAAAAAACCGAAGACUUCCUCCUAGAUUGUUACAAAAAUUAUUGUUGUGAGAUACUGUGAGGAAAAGCAGACAGUAGUGUCUACCAUAUGGUAGGCGCUCAAUAAAUGCCAACUUUCUUUUCUCUUUAAUCUUACACCACCAACUUACCCAUAAAUUCCAUAGGGAUGAAUACAUGCUACAUGAAGACAGAGCUCAACCCACACAGAAUCUAGUUUAUAUUAGUGAUUGAUCUCUUGACUGAAUUAUUUAUUGGACUAAUAUUUAGAUGAUGGCUGUGGUACUUAAGUUUGUAUUAAAUAUAGCUCUCAAAGCACUUUUUUUCCUAUCAACUCAAUCUGUCAAUAUGUUUGUCCUUAGAAGGAGAUAAUGCAAAUGUUUGACUUAAGUGAUAAAUAUGAAUUCUACUGAGGUAGAUCAGUAAAAUUGAUCAGUGCUGAGAAAAGGGUCAGUAUGAACUAUUACAACUGGGUGAGGAAGAAUCAGAAGACUCCAACUGUGGGGCCCUGGGAAGACUUAGAAAGGAUGUGGUAGAAGGAGUUUCUGACAAUAUCUUUAGUUCCAACCCUAUCAUCAGCCAUCUGAGAGAACUUGGCCAUGUAUUCAUUUCUCUGAGUGUUAACUGCCUCAUUAUUCAGCCAUCACAGUGCUUGGACAUGGGUUUCUUCUCACAUGAUGUCCAUCACACUUUAUCCUCAGUGUUCCCUAUUAGACUGAGACUCCCCGAGAACAGAUGUUCCCUUUUCACUUAUUAUAACUUCAACGUGUACAUGUUUGAUACAUGGAGGUGUUCAAUAUCUUUUGAAUAAAUGAUGAAUGAAUGAUUUGGAUAAUUUUUUUUUUAAAAAAAAAGGGGGAAACAAAGUCAAUACCUUAAAUCCCAGACUUAAGUUACCAUAAGAGGAAGCAAGCAGGAAGCAAUGAAAAGGCCUAGCAAGAGAGACGGUCCUACCCUUUCAAAACACAUUCAUUGAGCAGCAUUUUAAGAGUCAAGCAGGUGGGGGGAAGGUUUCUCUAGUGACUUAAAUUGGAGCUUGUCCUUUCCAUUUAUUCAGUCCAUAUUGUUAUGCUGCACACAAAAGCAUAGUUUCCCAGUUUUCUAUGGCUUCUCAGUCCAUGGAAGUUUUGCUGAAGCACAAAGUAAACUUUAGCCUUGGAAAUGCCCAAAAUGCCACAAUUUCUAGAUGAUUGCGAGAUCUUGGUCAGUGAGAUGAGAAAGAACCAGAGAAGGCUCCAACUGUAGAGCUCUGAGAAAGCAGGUGUUUGGGUGAAAUUUUACAUCAGUGAGGAAUUUCAGGUAGUUUGUGAAUGUGGAUUUGAGGCUUCAUGUAUUUCUUGGCUCACCCCUGGGGGAAGCUUGCUUUUCCUCCUCUCCAUAACUUCCUUUUCCUUCUACAUUGCUCAGGGUCUGCUUCAGCAAAACUUCAUGGACCAAAAAGGCAAAGACCAUUAGAAAAUUGACUUUUGUCUGGAGCAUACCAAUAUGGGGUUAGAUUUGGUUCAAGGAACAAUUAGAGCAUUGAAUAUACCCAAAACUUAACAGAAACAAAAACGUGCUUACCUACAAUGAGAUGUUAUGGUUCUUUCCAUUUUGUUAGAUAAAUUAGGAACUUUUAGAUCCUAUUUUCUUUUUUAUAUGUUUAUUUUUAUUUAUUUGUAUGUGGUGCUGAGGAUUUAACCCAGGGCCGCACAUGUACUAGGCGAGCGCGCUACCGCUGAGCCACAACCCCAGCCCUAGAUCCUAUUUUCAAGUAGAGUCUUAGGGACCAACAGGAAGGGGAUCUAAAUGCACAUCCCAAAGGAGAAUGCACUACCAGCUGUAGCUCAUCUCACUUCUGAAGUGUCUCCUCACCCAAAAAUGAAAAUGACCUAAUUGUGUACAGACAACGACAGUUGUACAGGGAAAAUAAUACAGUAAUGCAAAUAUUCAGACCAAGUUGGAAAAGCAAAGCAAGAGGGAGCCAGAAAACAUUAGAUCAUUCAAAUUGCAACCUGGCCAAGACACCAUCUGGGCAGGCAUUCUCUAUCCAACUUUUGUUCACAUACCAUCCCUAAUGCUUCUUUGCAUUUAUAGAAUAAUGGGUUGGUAUUUGCACAAAACCCUUUGUGUGACUGCAUCCUAAGGAACAAGGUUUCUCACAGUGUCCCUUCAGAAGGGCAGGGACUUCCCCAGUGGAAUGCUUUAAUAGACUUCCAGGUCAAAUAGGGCGCUUCUCUCUGAAGGGAUGGGUGGAGGAGUGAUGUACCUUUGGCCAGCUUAUGUAUUUU
rnacentral:lncRNA from 1 species